AUGCCUGAAGUUACUAUGUUAACCAGCAGGAAUUCAUCAGAGCUCUGGCAGCCUUCCCCAAAAAGUCUGAGAAGCUGAAAGUCCUCAAAUGGGUGGGCACAGUCAAGCUUGCCAAACAUAAAUAGCUUGGCUCAUAUGAUGAGAACUGGUUCUACACACGAGCUGCUUUCACAGCAUGGCACCUUUCCUCGGAGGUGGUGUGGGGGUUGGUUGCAUGACCAAGAUCUAUGGAGGACAGCAGAGAAUCUGUGUCAGACCCAGCCACUUCAGCAGAGGCUCUAAGAGUGUGGCCUGCCGGGUCCUCCAAGCCCUGGAGGGGCUGAAAAUGGUGGAAAAGGACCAAGAUGGGGGCAACAUGCUAACACCUCAGGGACAGAGAUAUCUGGACAGGAUCGCUGGACAGGUGGCAGCUGCCAACAAGAAGCAUUAG
rnacentral:lncRNA from 1 species